AUGCUCUGUUAACUGGUGCUGGGCUGAAUGAAGCAUACUCCGGUUAAUUGCGGACCCGGCCCACGUUCCCAAAACCCAACGCAAACCCCGCCGCCGUUUCAGCCCAUCCUCCUUAUCCCAAAAUCAGUCUCUCUGCCGCCGCCACCUCCGCCACCACCUCCACCACCGCCACGGCGCCCGCCGGUGAACCCCACGGUUGGCGACCAUCGCGCGCUCCACCGCCCUCCCCACCGCUCGGCUCCUCCUGCGCGGGCGCAUGGCCUCCUUCGCCUCCGUUGCGACCCUCCCCCUUCCCACCUGCUCCUCCUCCGACGACGACUCUGACGACGCCAAGCCCCUCCCGCCUCUACCCGCAUCGAAAGAAAUACGCCCUCCUCCGCAGCACCAGCAGCAGCCGCAGCCGCAGCGGCGGCAGCUGGAGCGCGACUGCAACGUGGCCAUGAAGGCCCUGGCGCGCGCGGGCGACGUCGACCAGGUGCUCGCCCGCUUCGCCGAGCUCAGGGCUUCCGGGACCCCCAGCGUGCUCUCCUACAACACUCUCAUGAACGCGCUCGUGGAAGCUGGCCGUGUGAAGGACGCCCACGACGCGUUCGGCGAAAUGCUUGCGGCAGGGGUGGCGCCCAAUGCGUCGUCCUGCAACAUCCUCCUCAAGCUGCACUCGUGGACCUCCGACGACGACGACUCUCCGUACAAGACGAUCCUCUCGAUGCGAGAGGCUGGGGUGGAACCUGACGUGAGCACGUACUCCACGCUUAUCACGGGACUGUGCCGUGUGGGGAGGCUCCCCGAGGCAUGGGGUGUGCUCGAGUGCAUGCUGGAGCAGGGGUGCCGUCCCAUGGUGCAUACUUACACGCCCAUUGUACAGGGAUAUUGCCGCGAGGGCCGUGUUGGGGAGGCCAUGGACCUGAUGGCCAUGAUGGAAAAAUGUGCCGGUUGCCCUCCCAAUGUAGUCACCUACAAUGUUCUGAUCAGGGCUUUGUGCGACGCCGGCCAAUUUAAUGAAGUCAAGCAGCUUUUAACGGAGAGUAGAACCAAGGGUUGGACGCCCAGUAUUGUCACCUACAAUACGUUUAUGAAUGGUCUCUGCCAGAAAGGUAAGGCUAAGGAAGCACUUGUGCUGCUGGGUGUUAUGCUGGGCAAAGGGUUGGACCCCACAGAUUUUACUUUGAGCAUUCUUCUGAAUUGCCUUUGCCAUGCCUCGAGGAUUUCCCAUGCCAGAUACUUGCUAGAGAGGAGUACGUCAUCGAGAUGGUAUGCUGGUGUUGUUGCAUACAACACUGUGAUGGGCAGGUUAUGUGAAAUGGGACAUUGGAGGGGUGUUCUGAAGCUGUUGACUGACAUGAUCAAGAAAGGUGUGAUGCCAAACACGAGGACGUUCAACAUUGUCAUUCGUAGUCUUUGCAUUGGUCGAAAGUGCUCCGCAGCCAAGAGCCUGGUCUGUAACAAAGGGUUUGCUGCAAAUGUCGUGACAUACAAUACACUGAUUGAUUGGUUUUUCUACCAUCGAAAGCUUAGUGAGGUGGGGCACCUACUUUCUGACAUGGCAGCAGGAAAAAUUGCUGUAGAUGAAGUUACUUACACUAUAUUCGUUGUUAGAUUAUGCAGAGAUGGAAAUUUUGCUAAGGCCAGUAGUUGCUUUCUAAAAUCGCUAGAGAAUGGACUGUCAAUGGAUCUUCUUGGCGUCCUUAUAAACAGGCUUGCUUACAGUGGCAAAAUCCCGGAGACUAUUCGCAUAUUCCAGAAUAUGAGAGAAAGAAAAGGGCUUUCCCUAGAUAAUUCUAUAUUUGACCUCACAAUUGAAAGAUUCUGUAGGGCCGGUUAUUGUCACGACAAAUAUAUACAUAAUCUUAACUCUAUUCUGGAUGCAAUGUUGGGAAAGCAGUGAACUCAACUCUUGUGGAUCUAGGAAGCAGACGAUAAUUGGAGGUAGCUUACUCUUUCUUUCUGUUUUUCUCGUGAUCUGAAUUUAGAUGGAGUAGUAUUGUUCUCACUGCUGAAUUCGUCCAAUCAAUGACAAUAGGAUGUUCUGUGCAGAACUUGCAACUUUGUUCUAGUAACAAUUUCGGCUAGCAUUCAAAUUUACGGAAUCUGAAUUUGUAAGUGUGUCAUACCAAAUUGUUGGGCUAUGUAAUUAUCAAUGGUUCCAAAUGGUCUUUGUUCUAGACAAUCAUCACUAGAUUUUCCACUAACCAUAUCUUAUUGUGUGUUCUCACUUCUCAACAAUGUUGCAUGUCCAAUAACAAUCAGAUAUGAUGUACUAAUUGGUAGGAAAAUUUGCCGCUUUUGAGGGAAAUGGAAGCUUCCUGUGCCUAAAUAGUAUUUUCCUUUGUGCCACAUAUAAUGACAUAAUCAUUCAGUAACAUCUAGUCAUAUUUGCUUGUCUGGCUGACACAACUAUAGUGAUUUUCAGUGAUAUAUUUAUUUACAUUAUGAUUAUAUAUUUAAUUUAAUCAUAGUUUUCAUGUUGGUGUUUGGAACCAAUCAACCAAUACUUUAUGAAGUAAACGCUUCGUAUGACAGAUGUCGUUGUCAGAUUUUUUUUUAAAUAUUUUGGCAACUGAAAUAUCCUCUAAUUUUUGGUAUUCCUCUGAAACUAUUAUGAACAAUGUCUCCUCUAGCACACCGCAAUUCGAUCCAAGGUUUGCACGAAACAGUAGCUGUUUUGCCUUUGGCUGCCGUUAAAAGCAUUUUAACCUGAAUGAUCUGUUUUCUGGCCUGCUUGCCCAAAAACAAAGGAAUUUCUUGAAUGCAGACAUUUUGGGAUAUUAUCUGUUAUACAAGCAUACUUUUUAUUUUGUUCAGCAUUACUGUAGCUCCUUUUCUUUUACUCAGGUUUCCUUUUGAGUUAUACAUGUCAUAUUUCAGGAAUGGAUUCCCUCUUUUCAUUAUUUUCCUCCUGCCAACAGCCAUGAAUGAGAAGUGUAGACAUUGCUAAAGAUACUGAAUACGUGCUGUCUGCCUUUUAUAACAUCCCGUACAUCAAAGAUGGCUGCAUGCCUGUUUAUGUUAACAUAUUCCACCCUGCCACUCAACAGACAGAGUCUAAUUGGUGAGUUAUGGGAAGAUUGACUUAGUUGCCAACAUAGAAAGGUUUGGUAGUUGGUACUAAAAGUUAAAUAAUUAAUUAUAUUGAUUUACAUAAAUGGUAUUAUUUACGUAUCUGGUGUUGUAAACUAGUAGUAAGAACUAGCAAGCAAUAUUUUUAGGCUGGUAUUAUAAUUAUCUUUGAAUUUUAUGCAUGUUCUGCCAAGUUACAUACCUAUGCUACAAAUAUUUAGUGACUAGGACACUGAAUUUUCCCCUCUUACCUAUGCUGUUCUCCACAUAUGUGACACCUCAGCCCGGCCUGGUUGAAAUUCAGCCCAAGUGUGGCCGAUGAGUAUAUGUGUGCACCCUGUUUGUUUGAGCUUUUGCUUCUGCUUUUGCAGCUUUUCCACUUUGACAAAAAAAACAUAAAAGCUCCUAAAUAUGUGCUUUUGGAGUUUUUAUGGUUUUUGAUGAAUCAAUAUAACAAUAUUUGGCUCCAAAAGCCAUUACAGCUCGAAAAGCACCUAUUUAGGAGCUUUUAUGGCUUUUUGACCAAAGUGGAAAAGCUGCAAAAGCAAAAGCAAAAGCCCAAACAAACAGGGCCUUAGAACAUAAGUGGAGAUACGUACCACCUUGCUAGUUUGAAGGUGGCAACCACCAAUAUCAAGGGUUCCAAGGCAAUAACGUCCUGUUAGCCAUUUUUUUGCGGGAAGCAAGGACUGACAUGUAAUAAGCAGGAUAAUGCACGUUGGCAUACCCAGUAUGCAGAUUAGGUCUAAGCCAGUUGGGACCUUGGUGUGUUACCGCAUAUAGGCUUCACUGUUUGAUCUUUGAACCCUGUUUCUAUUAUAUCCACACUUGGUUAACUUCCUGUCUUCUGCAAGCUUGCAAUCAACAACAUGCUGCACAGGUGGGAUUCCAAUGCAAGUUUUUCCUAUUUAAUACAGGAUUACUGCAAUUGCAAACAGUUUUAGCCAUAUAAACUUGACAAGAUGAGGAUGGUUAUGAUCCGACAAGGGGCCUUGUGCAGUAAACCCCCUACGGACGUUCCCCGUCGAAUCAUUUGUGCUGGCAGGAUUCCUGUUAUCUGGUUCAGAAUGAAACUUGAUUAGUUAUUGUGUAUUUUUCUCUAUCUACCAUAGGUAGAGUGCAUAUAGCAUCAGGUAGGUGUUUGUGGUUACUCUACAUAGAGCUCUUUAUAGAAGACAAAAAAAAAGUGUCAGGUAGGAUUAUUCUCUUAUUCUUAUCAGCGUUUGGAUUGUGAGAUGUAGCCCAAAGACAUUAAGGUGAAUUGGAUUUUGUGUGUGUCAGACAGGUCGUGGUGCUCUAAAUAGAUUUUUCUUGUUCUGAUUUGUGUCGUUUAUUUCUGACCUCAUGAUUCUUGUUCCUUUUUUGCAGCUACUCCCUUCGUAAACAAAUAUAAAAGCAUCAAGAUCACUAAAAUAGUGAUCUAAACGCUCUUAUAUUUCUUUACAGAGGGAGUACUAGCUAGCUCCUGAACUAAUUUUGACAUAUUGCAGCAUUUUGUUUUGUUUAUUUCAGUCAUUCCGAAUGUUUCUCUUACGUUCUCAGGCUAGUAUGUCUGCCAGGUUCUUUCACUGAUGUUAGCGUAUACAUGUAUACCUCAUUCCACAGGACGCACGCAUGAUGUAGUUGUUGCUAUGGAUAAAAGUUUUAUCAUAAAACAUGUCUGCCCAAUCUGAGUUCAUCUGAAAACCUGCAUAUGCACUAGCCUUCUCUCCGUCUCCUUUUCUUGGCGCGGGGUAUGCAUAUGCUGAUAUGCACUUUACUAGACUCUGUUAAAAAAAGAUAUGUCCAUCGGGUUAUUUCAAAAAGGAAAAAAGAUAUGCCACAUCGGGUUUGUCAUGGGUAUCCGUUGAGCGAGCAUAGCAUAUAUGGUUUUUUUUAGGCAUAGAGCACAGCAUUUAGUUUUUUUUAGGGCUUUUUCUUUUAGGGGUAAUCCAAGCUUUAUUAACGAUCAAAA